ACAAAGAAGAGUUUGAUCCUGGCUCAGGAUGACCGCUAGCGGCAGGCUUAACACAUGCAAGUCGAGGGGCAGCGCGGGGUAGCAAUACUCUGGCGGCGACCGGCGGAAGGGUGCGUAACGCGUGAGCAACAUGCCCGUAUCAGGAGGAUAACCGAUGGAAACGUCGCCUAAUACUCCAUAACAACGUGGGGGACAUCCCUUGCGUUUGAAAGCUACGGCGGAUACGGAUUGGCUCGCGUGACAUUAGCUUGUUGGCGGGGUAACGGCCCACCAAGGCGACGAUGUCUAGGGGUUC
rnacentral:rRNA from 1 species